rnacentral:misc_RNA from 1 species
GAUGAAGAACGUAGUGAAAUGCGAUAAGUAAUGUGAAUUGCAGAAUUCAGUGAACCAUCGAAUCUUUGAACGCACAUUGCGCCCAUUAGUAUUCUAGUGGGCAUGCCUGUUCGAGCGUCAUUAAGUCCACUUAAGCCCUGCUUAGUGUUGGGAGACUGCUCCAGCGGUGCUACCCUGUAGCUACCCUGCAGCUCCUCAAAGACAGCGGCGGAGUUGUGGUAUCCUCUGAGCUUAGUAACUUGUUCUAGCUUUCGAGUACACCACUUCCCCUGCCGUAAAACCCUUAAUUUUUAAUGGUUGACCUCGGAUCAGGUAGGAAUACCCGCUGAACUUAAGCAUAUCAAUAAGCGGAGGA